UACGUAGGGUGCGAGCGUUGUCCGGAAUUAUUGGGCGUAAAGAGCUCGUAGGCGGUCUGUUGCGUCCGCUGUGAAAACUCGGGGCUUAACCCCGAGCCUGCAGUGGAUACGGGCAGACUAGAGGUAGGUAGGGGAGAAUGGAAUUCCCGGUGUAGCGGUGAAAUGCGCAGAUAUCGGGAGGAACACCGGUGGCGAAGGCGGAUCUCUGGGCCUUACCUGACGCUGAGGCGCGAAAGCUAGGGGAGCAAACAGG
rnacentral:rRNA from 1 species